GACAAAGAGAGAGGGACUUGGAAGAAGAAAACAAAGAGAAAAACAAAGAGACAUUAGGUACCAGUGGCGACAUUAACAAAAACAAAGAGACAUUAGGUACCAGUGGCGACAUUAACAAAAACAAAGAGACAUUAGGUACCAGUGGUGACAUUAACAAAAACAAAGAGACAUUAGGUACCAGUGGUGACAUUAACAAAAACAAAGAGACAUUAGGUACCAGUGGUGACAUUAACAAAAACAAAGAGACAUUAGGUACCAGUGGUGACAUUAACAAAAACAAAGAGACAUUAGGUACCAGUGGUGACAUUAACAAAAACAAAGAGACAUUAGGUACCAGUGGUGACAUUAACAAAAACAAAGAGACAUUAGGUACCAGUGGUGACAUUAACAAAAACAAAGAGACAUUAGGUACCAGUGGUGACAUUAACAAAAACAAAGAGACAUUAGGUACCAGUGGUGACAUUAACAAAAACAAAGAGACAUUAGGUACCAGUGGUGACAUUAACAAAAACAAAGAGACAUUAGGUACCAGUGGUGACAUUAACAAAAACAAAGAGACAUUAGGUACCAGUGGUGACAUUAACAAAAACAAAGAGACAUUAGGUACCAGUGGUGACAUUAACAAAAACAAAGAGACAUUAGGUACCAGUGGUGACAUUAACAAAAACAAAGAGACAUUAGGUACCAGUGGUGACAUUAACAAAAACAAAGAGACAUUAGGUACCAGUGGUGACAUUAACAAAAACAAAGAGACAUUAGGUACCAGUGGUGACAUUAACAAAAACAAAACAUUUGGGAUUCAAAGCCACUAAACAAUACAUUAAUUGCACUAUAAGAGACUGUGACCACAGGGCCGACAUAAACCUUAGCACUGCUACACCUGGCUAUCAGUGGAACCUUGUCUGGCAGCCAAACAGUUCAUUCAGCCUCAUUUACUGCCUUUAAAAAAACAUAGCUGAUGUGGCUGACUUGCUUAAACAAAUGUGGUUUCUACUAACAAUUGAGAUGUACAAACUAUGGCAUAAGGGGACGACAAGCGGAUAACAGGUCAUCUGUUUCAAUUAAGACAUUAAUGAGCGAGUUAGGAUGGACGUAGUCAAUAUAACUAUUACUAAUAUAACUAUUGUUCUGAAAUGUACAGCGACAGAAUGCAUAACAUGGGCCGUUCUUACAGAGUUCUCCCUGUACACCAAGUCAGAACCGUAGGAUAAAUCAAGGGUGACACAUAAGCAGACAAUGAAAGCUCUUACAAUAUUCAAUGAUUAUUAACUCUAUGGCAGCAUCCAAAGGGGCUUGAAUUUUCUAGCUCUACCAUUAAAUUUGGCGGUGACGUACUGUCCCCAUGAGUGACAGAACACUGAGCCAAUCACGGCUCAGGAUUUUCUGCUGACUUGCACCACCACCACAGAAAGCACUGAGCUAGGUUGAAACACCUGCAUUUCGGAGCUGCUUCACUCAAGAAAACAAAAAAAGAGACCAGGCAUUACAUUGUUUGCAAACUGAUAUGUGACACGUAUUAAUGCCAAAAUAACAUGCAAAAAUGUGGGGCCCCACCUUCCCUGAAUAACGGGUUGACACUGUCGGAAACAUCAACAGACAGCUGCAUCAAACCUCUCCUUUCCUCUCCUCUCUGACGGGAAAUCACCAUCCACCCUGUUACGUUUAGUUCUGCCACAGGAUCUCCCUCUGUCUCUCUCUCUCUCUCUCUCUCUCUCUCUCUCUCUCUCUCUCUCUCUCUCUCUCUCUCUCUCUCUCUCUCUCUCUCUCUCUCUCU